CGAUCUGCUAAUACGCUGAAUAAAAGCGUCUGCUAAAUUAAUAAAUGUAAAUGUAAUGUAAUAUGCGUUCUGUGCACUCAAAUUGAGCGCUCUCUUCUCGCUACCAGGACAAGACACGCCCCCUUACUGCUGAUUGGCUACAAGUCCCAGAUAGCAAGCAUAGUCGGCCCGAUUCUGACUGAUUGUCGGCACAAUCGGCCAAUAGCAUCCAGCUGCAGCCCCGCAGACUCACUUCUUGCUAGACACCAGUGGCUGGACACCAGUGGAUGGACAGCAGACGUCAUUUCAUAAAAGUAAAAUGACAAUACGGAAAAGACGUGUGCAAUUAAGCCUGCAAAGAAAGAAUGCUUUCUAUCCACUGGUGAAAACAGAAAAUAAAUAUGCUGUCUAUCCAUAGGUGAAAAUAUAAAAUAAAUAAAUGUCUAUCCAGAGGUGAAAAUAUAAAAUAAAUAUUCUGUCCAUCCAGAGGUGAGAACUAAAUAUGCUGUCUAUCCAGAGGUGAGAACUAAAUAUGCUGUCUAUCAAGAGGUGAAAAUAUAAAAUAAAUAUUCUGUCCAUCCAGAGGUGAGAACUAAAUAUGCUGUCUAUCCAGAGGUGAAAAUAUAAAAUAAAUAUAUCUCAAUCCAGCGGUGAAAAU